GUCAACUACCGCACACUGACCCGAUGCGGGUACAGUGUGGGCUUGAAUAAAGCCUGUUGACCAGACGGCCUUAAAAAUAAGCGCAGCCGUUAGUACCAAGAGUUAAAGUUCGUACCUUGGAAUGCGUGCCAGUUCCAAGCUCUACA
rnacentral:sRNA from 14 species